rnacentral:rRNA from 2 species
UGACCUCAAAUCAGGUAGGACUACCCGCUGAACUUAAGCAUAUCAAUAAGCGGAGGAAAAGAAACUAACAAGGAUUCCCCUAGUAACUGCGAGUGAAGCGGGAAAAGCUCAAAUUUAAAAUCUGUCAGUCUUUGGCUGUCCGAGUUGUAAUCUAGAGAAGUGUUAUCCGCGCUGGACCGUGUACAAGUCUCCUGGAAUGGAGCGUCAUAGAGGGUGAGAAUCCCGUCUUUGACACGGACUGCCAGGGCUUUGUGAUGCGCUCUCAAAGAGUCGAGUUGUUUGGGAAUGCAGCUCAAAAUGGGUGGUAAAUUCCAUCUAAAGCUAAAUAUUGGCGAGAGACCGAUAGCGAACAAGUACCGUGAGGGAAAGAUGAAAAGAACUUUGGAAAGAGAGUUAAACAGUACGUGAAAUUGCUGAAAGGGAAACGCUUGAAGUCAGUCGCGUUGUCCAGGGAUCAACCUUGCUUUUGCUUGGUGUACUUUCUGGUUGACGGGUCAGCAUCAAUUUUGACUGUUGGAAAAAGGUCGAGGGAAUGUGGCAUCUUUAGAUGUGUUAUAGCCCUUGAUUGCAUACAAUGGUUGGGAUUGAGGAACUCAGCACGCCGCAAGGCCGGGUAUUAACCACGUACGUGCUUAGGAUG